UCUCUCUCUCUCUCUCUUCCCUUGAAUGCUCAUGGCACCCAUGAACAGUUUGGCUUCUACUAAUAGUAAGAUGGUCAUGAACAGAGGAGCAUGGACAGCUGAGGAAGAUAGAAAACUGGCAGAGUAUAUUGAAGUUCAUGGUGCCAAGAGAUGGAAAACAGUUGCAAUGAAAGCAGGUUAAACUGCAUUAAUAUUAAUUCUAUUUUCUUGGAGCUGUAAAGAAAUAGAAUCCAGUUUGUGUAUGGGUUAGGCUGAUGGGUUUACAUGUUUUGUUGUCUGGUAUGCUUCUUCAGGUUUAAAGCGAUGCGGGAAGAGUUGCAGAUUGAGAUGGUUGAACUAUUUGAGACCCAACAUCAAGAGAGGCAACAUUUCAGAUGAAGAAGAGGACUUGAUUCUUAGACUUCAUAAACUACUCGGCAAUAGGUGGUCAUUGAUUGCUGGGAGACUUCCAGGACGAACGGACAAUGAAAUAAAGAACUACUGGAAUUCUCAUUUGAGCAAAAAAAUUAAUAAGAAGGAGAAAAAAACCAGAGUCUUCAAUUCCGCAGGAGAGCAUCCCCGAGAAGACAUGUGACACUGCUGCUGCUGCUCAUGAAAUGAUGGAAGAGGGCAGACAAGGAGCUGCUAUUCCGGAGCUUAGCUUCGAUGUCAACGAGUUCUUCGACUUCUCCACGGAAGGAUCCUACGGCUUGGAAUGGGUAAACAAGUUCCUUGAACUUGAUGAGGAUCCAUGGCUAACCGAGAAGAGCUGAGCAUUGUGUGUAUCAAAUUGGAAUGAGUCUUCUUUCUUCUCAUUAAUUUGUUAAAUACUGAUUUACAUGUAUAAUUUUAAUAAAAGUUUACUCAUUUUCG
rnacentral:misc_RNA from 1 species